rnacentral:rRNA from 1 species
ACCGCAUGAAGCAGGGGCCCCGCAUGGGGAUAUUUGCUAAAGAUUCAUCGCUGAUAGAUAGGCAUGCGUUCCAUUAAGCAGUUGGCGGGGUAACGGCCCACCAAACCGACGAUGGAUAGGGGUUCUGAGAGGAAGGUCCCCCACAUUGGUACUGAGACACGGACCAAACUCCUACGGGAGGCAGCAGUGAGGAAUAUUGGUCAAUGGCCGAGAGGCUGAACCAGCCAAGUCGCGUGAGGGAUGAAGGUUCUAUGGAUCGUAAACCUCUUUUAUAAGGGAAUAAAGUGCGGGACGUGUCCCGUUUUGUAUGUACCUUAUGAAUAAGGAUCGGCUAACUCCGUGCCAGCAGCCGCGGUAAUACUGAGGAUCCGAGCGUUAUCCAGAUUUAUUGGGUUUA